CGAAUAAAUUAUUUUAUUUAAAUGAUAACAUAUACUAUUAAAAUUAAUAUAAUUAUGCUAAAAAAAAUUAAAAUUCAAAAGCACAUUUUAUUGAAAAUUAAUUUCUUACAACACACAACCAAAAUUAAAAACACAAAUUUAAAUACACACAACAUCUUAAUUUAAAUACCAAAUGACAAACUUGAAAAAAAUUAAGUAUGACACUAAUCAUCGUCGAAUCGCGCUCACACGUGCUCAACCAGAUCGGAUCGAAGUUGGUGAUGUAUUGUUUUGUCAUGUACUCUAGCACCCCUUCUGAUGUACUCGUUGAAUCCUCCUACUAAACCACGAUUUAUUUUCCAUGCAAUAUUGUUGCUCGACGUGCUUGGUUCGUCUUCGACCCAUUGGCUUGCCAUUUUCCCUUCAUCUUCAAUUAUCAUAUUAUGUAAAAUAAUACAAGCAUACAUAAUGUCAGUGAUGUUUUCUUUAUACCAUAGGCGACUCGAACCGAUGCGCGUUCUACAUCAUUCCUCGCAGCUUCUUGCAUUUCCUUGAACUUCCUUCUUUUUGGAUCUUGAGGAUGUUGGAAGCUUUUGACAAAAGUUGCCCACUCAGGAUAUAUACCGUCUGUUAGGUAGUAUCCAUGGGCAUAUUGCGUGCCAUUUACUGUGAAUGGGAUGGAAGACGCUUGCCCUUGUAGAACGUCGUUGAAUAGUGGAGACUGAUUAAGCACGUUUAUAUCAUUGUUGGACCCUGCAACUCCAAAAAAAGCAUGCCAGAUCCACAAAUCUUGAGAUGCAACCACCUCAAGCAUAAUUAUUGGGACUCCAUGAUCGCCACGGGUGAAUUGGCCUUUCCAUGCUACUGGGCAAUUUUUCCAUGUCCACUGCAGUUGCGGUUGUGUCUUCAGCAUCAUCCUCAGAAGAAGAUGAAGACAUCACUGAAAUUUCUUUGAUGUUAUGAAGAGAGAUAUCGAAUAGGGAAGAAUUGUUUCUCUAGAU